rnacentral:rRNA from 1 species
UACGUAGGGGGCAAGCGUUGUCCGGAUUUAUUGGGCGUAAAGAGCGUGUAGGCGGCUUGGUAGGUCCGCUGUGAAAACUCGAGGCUCAACCUCGAGAUGUCGGCGGAAACCCCCUGGCUAGAGUCCGGAAGAGGAGAGUGGAAUUCCCGGUGUAGCGGUGAAAUGCGCAGAUAUCGGGAAGAACACCUAUGGCGAAGGCAGCUCUCUGGGACGGUACUGACGCUGAGACGCGAAAGCGUGGGAGCGAACAGG